rnacentral:lncRNA from 1 species
AAGACCUAAAAUUUUCUUGAAAUUUGCUGGUAGUACUGCUUUGUGCUUCUCUUCCAUGUACUUUGCUAUGGCAUAUGGACUCGACCCACUCUCAUCAUUCAAAGCCAAUAUAGCCUCCUUAAUCAUCUGCAAUAAUAAUCCCAACUUAAAUUAAACAUCAAUACAAAUAAAAGUAACAGCUAGCGCAUGCGUGUAGGAAAUAAAAAACCAGGAACACGAAGAAACAUAGAAAUACCUAAAAAUAAGGAGGAUGGGCGGCAGGUUUUUGGUUAGCGCAUGCUUGUAAUAAAAACCAGGAACCUGAAGAAACAUUGAAAUACCUGAAAAUAAGGAGGAUGAGCAGCAGGUUUUGGUUUAGGUUGUCUAGGCUUCUUUUCUCUGGGAGUCCUUGGCUUCUUUCCUUUAACGGGAUUCUCCUCCACCUUAGGCUCCUCCGUGGCAGUUGGUUGCUCCACGACUGGAGCCUCAGUUUCAGCUUCUUCGGUGGCUGUCAUCG